rnacentral:rRNA from 1 species
UUUCGCAAUGCCCGAAAGGGUGACGAAGCGACGCCGCGUGUGGGAAGAAGGCCUUCGGGUUGUAAACCGCUGUUGGGAGUUAGGAAGUGUGGGAGUGUUAAUAGCGCUUCCACUUGACUAAAGCUCCAGAGGAAGCCACGGCUAACUCUGUGCCAGCAGCCGCGGUAAUACAGAGGCGGCAAGCGUUGUUCGGAAUUAUUGGGCGUAAAGAGCACGUAGGCGGCUCUGUAAGUCAGCUGUGAAAGCCUUCUGCUUAACGGAAGAACAGCAGUUGAAACUACAGGGCUUGAGUGCGGGAGGGGAGAGUGGAACUUCUGGUGGAGCGGUGAAAUGCGUAGAUAUCAGAAGGAACGCCGGCGGCGAAAGCGGCUCUCUGGUCCGCAACUGACGCUGAGUGUGCGAAGGCUAGGGGAGCAAACGGGAUUAGAUACCCCGGUAGUCCUAGCCGUAAACGAUGGGCACUAAGUAGAGGGGUUUU